rnacentral:tRNA from 1 species
UAUAAUUUUAUUAUUAAACUACUCUUUG